rnacentral:lncRNA from 1 species
CAGGGCGAGGCGGCGUCGGAAGGAGCUGUCUCUGUGUCACUCCUUCCUUGGGGCACUUUCCGUCUCUGCGGGGUAGGAAAUCCUCUUCUGCACUCGGGAUUGCGAGAUUCUCUGAUACCGUUCUGCCCUCGAAGACCUGCAACCCCCCCCCCGCACCUAGCCCUGCGCUCGCCCCGCGACGACGCGCCUGCCCACCUGCUGCCCAGGUGUCUGCCAGCCUCCGAGCCCACUGGCUGGCGCCCCCUUGGCCUGGCCGCUGUGCCAGGUGGCGACUGUCCUCCAGGCCGGGCCGGGAGACGGAAGCAUUUGCAUAGGGCCCCUGGCUGUCUGAACCUCGAGUAGGCGCAGCUGGAGGUCAGGGAUGGGCUGCACCUGGUCACCGUCCUUUCUGGGCAGGGGUGCUGGUGGCCUGGCCACAGGUUUUCAUUGGUGACCUCAGUAUGGAAACAGCUGUGCUGUGGGCCUCCUGGAUUACUACUUGCUGGGCUGACAUUAAAGGUCAAAGGUUGUCUGAGGACCACUGGGCUGUGCAGAGGCCCAGGCUGACUGUUAGUCAGCUCUAUGCCUGGGAGGCACAGGCCUGGUGGCCUUUGUGGCUGUGCGUAUGAUGCUGGUGUUCUGGUCUUUCCUCAGCUGCUUAUUCCUAGGCAGGAGUCUGUCUGCCUUUCCAGGGCCAGUAGAAGCAUUCGAAGUUGGUUUUCCAUAUUUUGCUGUAUGUUUGCUUGGAGUCAGCCGGGACUUCUAGGCAAUUUCUGCAGACGUAGCUGUUUCCUCCACUUGAGGGCUAGGCCCAAAGCUGAGGACGAAAGACACAAAGUACUUCCCUAUGUUCCAAAUUCACGGAGCUGCCAGCUGCUGGAGCUGGCCUCCUCCCACAGCUGAUGGGGAGGUACCACCUCUGAGAGCCAGCCCUGUCCCCACCCCCAUUCCUCUGCAGUGAACUUGCGGGGCAGGGGGUUGGCUUUUAGGUGAGUGCAGUAUUUGUGGUGAGAAAUUAUUCCCUCUCCCCUCCUCCUGCGGCGAAGGGAAAGUCGUUUUCCAAGGCACCUGCUGACUGGGCCCUGCUGGCCUUCUGCCGUGGCAUGUCACCCACACCCCAGUCAGUGAGCCCAGAGUAAGAGCUCAGCCCACAGAUGUCGCUUGGGGACUAAUGCUGUUCAGGAAGAGACCUGGCUUGUCUGAGGUUGGGGCAAACAAGUGGCAGAGCCGGACUUUGAAGCCAGGCCCGUCUGACUUUGGACUCGAUCAUUUCCUGCGUCAGCUCCUGUCUCCCUUCUCUACCC